rnacentral:tRNA from 1 species
GGACCUUUAGCUCAGUUGGUUAGAGCAAUCGGCUCAUAACCGAUCGGUCCCGGGUUCGAGUCCCUGAGGGUCCA